rnacentral:lncRNA from 1 species
CUUUUCUUUUUUUUUUUUUUUUUUUUGAGACGGGAUCUAGCCCUGCAGCCUCUGCCUCCCAGGCUCAAGCUAUUCUCGUGUCUUGGCCUCCCGAGUAGCUGGGAUUACAGGUGCAUGCCACAUGCCUGGCUAAUUUCUGUAUUUUUAGUAGAGACAGAGUUUCACCAUGUUGGCCAGGCUGGUCUCGAAUUCCUGGCCUCAGGUGAUCCUCCCACCUCAGCCUCCCAAAAUGCUGGGUUACAGGCCUGAGCCACAGGGCCUGGCCUAGCCCUAUCUUUACCAUUAGCUCCAUUUUACAAGUUGUCAUGGGGGGGUCCUCCUCUCUCCUUCGGCUCCCUAGUCGCCUUGGGGAGUUCCCACCAAUGGGGCCCAAACCUGCUGACCUGAAGUGAAGAUCUGAAAUUGACAUGGAAUGAGCCAGGCAAAGCAGAGAGGGAUUCCAAGUGGCUUCAUGAGUUCUCAGAUGAGGGACUGGGAGGAAGCCGGUGUGCGGUGCUCAGGAGUGGCGGGGUGUAAACUGUGGUGAGGUUAAGGAAGCAGGAGUUAACAAUAAGCACCUGGGCCGGGCGCGGUGUCUCACGCCUGUAAUCCCAGCACUUUGGGAGGCCAAGGCAGGUAGGUCACUUGAGUUUAGGAGCUGGAGACCAGCCUGGGCAACAUGGCAAAACCCCGUCUCUACAAACAGUACAAAAAUUAGCCGAGUAUGGUGGUGUCACCUGUAGUCCCACCUACUUGGGAGGCUGAGGUGGGAGGAUUGCUUGAGACUGGGAGGCAGAGGCUAGAGUGAGCCAUGAUUGGGCCACUGCACUCCAGCCUGAGUAUCGCUCAGAGUGAGAUCCUGUCAUGGCGGGGAAAAAAAAGGAAGAAAAAGAUUUAAACCCAGGCAAUCCACAUCAGCAGCCAUUCUCAUACCUAUCCACUCCUCACUGCCUUCUAGGCAUUGCUGAAUUUGAGCUUUAUUUUAAGUACAAUGAGAUAUUUGUAAGCUUUUAAGUGGGACUCUGCAUGAUCUUUUAUGUUUUAACAAGAUGGCCAGGCUAGAAAUGGAAAUUUUUUUUUUUAAGCAUUAUGAGUGCUAUUUAAGUCACUUACGGAUGAUGCUAUCUAGGGAGAACACAUAAACACAGAAGAGUUCCAAGAAUCAAACCCUAAGGAACUCCAACAUUUGGAGGGUGGAUCCAGAAAGAGAAGGCAGGAGAGAGGAGAGAAAGCCAGUGCCUGAGGGGAGCCAGGAAGGACUCACAAGACAAACACAGCCUAGAACUGUGCUUACAUUGUGCUUGGAAAAAGAAAUAGACACCAGAUCCCUGCUUCCUGUUUCCUUAUGUGAACCCAAAGUAUCCGAGACAGGUCUCAACCAAUUUAGAAAGUUUAUUUUGCCAAGGUUGAGGACACACGCCCGUGACACAGCCUCAGGAAGUCCUGACCACAUGUGUCCAAGGUGGGGAGGUACAAUUCUAUGCAGAAUGGUCUCCAGUGUCUAGCCUGACAGGCCAGAAAUACAGGUAGCUGACUCAUUGGGGAAGUUCUACCAUUUAAAAGAAACUAUCCUUUUCCUAAUUAUAAAUGUAUAUUUUGUAGUAGAAUUGGAUUCCUGAAACUUUAAUGAACUUGUGGAUCCCUGGGGGGCCUCGUGAGGUGGCAGUAUCUGACUUGGGAGGGCUGUGGUGGGGUUGGGAUGCCGCAUUUCUAACAAGCUCUCUGGUGGUGCUGAGAUCACUGGCAGACAAACCACACUGGGGACUAUCAAAGACUUAGCAAACAAACAAAAAAUAGCUAGGAUUACAAAAGCCAGCUGUAAAUUUGCCUUCUCAAAAGGGACACUGCUUUCCAUUCCUCUCUCCACGCCGGACUAGGUCAGGGCUCCGGGCUUCCCUCUCCAACGUCACCCACAGCAUCGAGAGAGGGAACAGAUGGAGAUGAGGAUGUAGAGUUGCUGGGGAGGCCAGAGGUUUGGAAUGAGUGAAUAUGGGGUGGGGAGAGGUGGCCAGGGAAGGAGAAAAUCAGAAAGGAGUCUCGUCCUGCUGCUGCCUGAGAUAACUGAUGAUUUGCCUCCUCGCCUGAGAUGAGUCAGGCGCAGGGAUCUGCAGGAUGAAAGGGAGAAUUGGGGCAAGAGCUCUGAGUGGGUGAGAAGCUGAGAAAACAGGUGAGGUGGACCAGACCCAGAAAUCCACUUCUCCACCCUCCCCUCCAAGCCUAAGUCUGGAGAAUGAUAAUCCAAGGGAUGCCCCCUGCCAACCCCCCAUCAUCUCUCAGUGCUCUCCCUGGAAGGAUGAAGAGAAAGCCCUGAGCUUGCUUCUAGGGUGGGAAGCCUUGGUGCCUGGGACUUUCCACUCUAGCGUGUGUACGAGGCCAUUCUUCCAUUGCUAUACAAAAAAAAAAAAAAAAACCAAAGAAGAGCAGCAAAUCUCCAGAACACGGCUUCUGUCUUGCAUGUAAGACCUGUACCAACUCAGUGAUGUCCACCUUACCUCCUGAGCUGCGUCCUCCUGAGUGACAGUGAGUAUUUGUGUGCAGAUUUCACCUCUUGAGAUUUAACAUCAGUGGAAAUGCCAAGACAGCAAACAGGACAAAGAGCACUUUGGUUCAUUCUAAGAACUGAAUCUUGGCUGGGCACAGUGUCUCAUGCCUGUAAUCCCAGCACUUUGGGAGGCCGAGGCAGGUGGAUCACCUGAGGUCAGGAGUUUGAGACCAGCCUGGCCCACAUGUUGAAACCCCGUCUCUACUAAAAAAAAAAAUUAGCUGGGCGUGGUGGCGGGCGCCUGUAGUCCCAGCUACUCACUCCUCACAACUACUGUGAAAGUCACACCCCAUUCUACAGGUGAGGAAACAGAGGCUUGCAGGCUUAGUAGUCAUGUAGCUAGUAAGUGGUGGUUCUUUCCACCAGACCACACUGUCUUCCCCAAGAGGCAUUUGUUAACCCUGUGCGGAGCCAGCCAAACCACAGGCUCCAUGACUACCGGGAAGGUAAGGGCCAGGUUCUAGUUGACCAGAACUGGUGAAGAAACUAAUCUUUGCUUACAGGGAGAAACCACAGGACAUCUGCUUCCUUUGAGCAAGUGAAGGAGACACAGGAAAAGAGGUCCUGGUGAAAACACGACUUUCAGAAGUUAUAUCUGAGCCUUCCAGGAAGAAGUGGCAAUCAGAGCCAUAAGCUUGAAGUGUGGCGAGGAAUCGGAAGGGCUGGACUGGAAGCUGGCUUCCUUAUCCGGCCAUGGCCUCAGGAACAAGGCAGCUGUAGGCUGUCUUGACCCCAGUCAGCAACGUGGCCUUGGCAGACUGCACAUGGAAGGUGAUUUGGGGAGGGCCUGAAUCUCCCAGCAUGCCUCACUCCACCCUGAUAGCUUUAAGGGGAAAGAGCAGGUGCCCUGAAAUUUCCAUUAGCCAAACCUGUAGCUAUACCUUACAUCCAUUAGGAUGAGAAAGUUGUAAAAUCUGUUUUGAAAUUCAUGCAAAAUCCAUACGUUUGUUUUCAUGCUACAGUGUUUUCUCUGUACUUGAUUUUCUUUUGUUCUCUGGUCAUGUUAUUUUUGAAAAUUUUCAGCUUUUGCUUUACAGAAAGAAAAGGAAAGGGAUUUCUGCAGAUCUAGGCCAAGGUAGCUGGGGAGAUGAGAAUACAUCAGGGGCCAGAUAAAGCUUUAUCAAGGGUGGCCCCCAGUUCUUGAGCUGGGAAGAGUCUUUGAGGUUGAGGCAAGAGGAGGAUGAAAACCCAGAACUGGAAGCUGAGACCUUCAUUGCUUUCCAUUAGUCUGUCCCCACCUCUCUCCAUUCAAUAGGUGAUGGUCUUCUAGCAACUUGUUAGCCACACAGCAUUCAUCUGCAGUAGGCCACAUUCUGCUGUACAAUGCUACAGACAUCUCAAAGACCACACCAUGAGAACCACUGUGGUAGACAUAUGGCAUGUUAAAAUGCUAACUAGGCUGGGCACGGUGGCUCACGCCUGUAAUCCCAGCACUUUGGGAGGCCGAGGCGGGUGGAUCACCAGGUCAGGAGUUCAAGACCAGCCUGACCAACAUGGUGAAACCCCAUCUCUACUAAAAAUACAAAAAUUAGCCAGGUGUGGUGGCGCACGCCUGUAAUCCCAGCUACUCAGGAGACUGAGGCAGAAAAAUCGCUUGAACCCAACAUGCAUCUCAGAAUUGGUAAUAUGCUGAUGUUUUCAAUUAGUCUUCAAGCCAUUUUCCAAUUACAGUGUUUUCUACUGAAGUUUGAAACCCCCCAUAAAGGCAGAAAUGAGCCUCUCUUCCCCUGAAACCUCCCAUUAAGGCAGGAAUGAGCCUCUCUUUCCCUGAAUUCCUAGAGUUCUACAAAAGAAACGCUAAAUCAACCCUUCCUAUGGACUUUGCUUGUACUACCUUUGUGAUCUAUCAUAUUCUGUUGUUUCUGGUAACCAUUUACACGUAUGACAAUAGAUUUUUAAGUUCAUCAAAGGCAGGAAUGGUAUUUUAUACAUUCCCAAGUUUUAAGAGUGCCUGACAUGGGGUUUGUAUUACGGUAGGCCAGUAAUUCUCCAACUUUUCAUCUUGGAAGUCUUUUACACUUUUUAAAAACUUUUUUUUUAGGAAGUCACUUGCUCACAGAGUCUCUGACCUCUGCCAGGUGCAGUGGCUCACACAUCGCACCCAGCCGAGAAACUUUUAACACUCUGUAGAGGAAGGAACUGAUAUUGUGAUUGACUUUUGUCAGGGUUAGUUGCUAUCGGCAGCUCUCUGAGGAAGAGGCUGUAAUUUGCAUGCUUAAUCUCAUGUCUAUUCCACUUUUCCUUCAGGGAAAGGCCUUGUUCAUGUACAUCUAGUAGGAGUGAACCUGAUACAUCGUGAUUGCGUCAUAUGUAUUUGCUGAAUGAAUUAAUAAAAAGCUAAUACUACUCAAUUUCUUUUUUUUUUUUUUUUUUGGGAAAGAACUGCUUUCAGGAAAAUAUUUUAAUAAGUUACCUGUAAUAAAAGUGAGAGGCCUUUAAGGAAGGAAAAAAAGAAUAUUUAUGCUGCCUCUUUAUGGGAAAACAAGAGGGAUUUGUCACUUAUUUUUUCCUACUGAUGGGGAGUGGGGCUAAGGAGGAAAGAGAGACAAGAGCCAGUGAGCUGGUCUGAGUUGGGGACUGCGGGAAGUCAUGGUGGGUGAGUGAUAAUAUUUUAAGCACAGGGACACUCAGAGUUUAAUCUGAAGUUCCAUUGCUGUGAUGUAAUCCACUCUCUUCCUUCCCACAUGUCAUCAGUGAUUAUGACAAUAUAAACAUCAGCAGAAAUCUUGGGGACGGUUUGGGAUUCCCUAGAGGGUAUGUGCCAAUGUUCUCUGCCCUUCAAGUCUUUGUUCUGAAGCAAUACUUGUGGCAGAUUGCUGGAAGAAUAUUCUGUCCAUUACAGAUCAUGAAAAAAUUUUACCUGUGGAUCAAUCCAGACCUCAGAAAGCUGUUAAGUUAUGACUUCAUUAGAGAAGAACAGGACUUGAUGACACAUCCUUUGAUAUCAUCCUUACCCCUGGCUUCACCUUACUGUCUUAUUUGUAUUUUCGGUUUGCACCAAUGGCCUCCUUAAUGUUUGAGGGAGCUGUGCUACAUAGAACUCUAAAAGCUGCUAGCAAUAAUUUUUCAAGCAAGGCAAAGCAUAAUGAAAAAAAUUAAUAUGCUUUUCAAAUUCUAUUAUCUCUAAUUCCCACCUCACUAUGCUCUUCACUUGAAAACGUGGAAAGUAAAAAGAUAAUUUAUCUUCCUCCUGCGGCAUGUUGGCAAGCAUUCACCCAGCCCCUCUUCACUACUCCCAAAUAAGGACUUGCUGAUAUUUUUAGCAAAACAAUUUAUGGGUCCAUUUUUCAAAAAUCAAGCUAGUUCACUCCUGUGCGUGCUCAUGCGCGCACACACACACUCACACUCAUUAGCCACUGUUACCAGUUUGAUGCAUAACCUUCUAGAUUCUCAUGUUUGCUUUUGUAAAUAUAUACACAUAGGUAGAGCAGUCUAUUGGUUUUUGUCAUGUGUAUCUGGGUGUUAAAUGAAGGAGUGAUGUUCUACAACUUGCUUUUAUGAUUUAACUAUGUCUUAGGCCACUUUUCCUCCUCCCAGGGAAGAGCUCUUCUCUAUGGUUUUGUUUUGUUUUUUUGUU